AGAUGGUUCUCACCGCACGGCAAUCCUCGAAGGUCUUCCGAACCACGUGGAGAGACGUAAAGUAAAAAACGACGCGGUUUUCUUCUUUUGUUACGGAAUGUGGCGUGGAGCGGAGGGAACGUACCGCGGAGGUGGCGAAGCGAACGCGUUGGAAAACAGACGAAGCUUUCUUAGAAGGCGGCGUAAAUGUUCCAUCGGCGACAACGGAACGGAUUCCUUUCACGGAGGUUGAGAAUGUUAUACGCCGGUGAGGGUUAGACCCCCACGGCGUGGUCAUAGGUAAUGGGUAAAGCAGAAGACGAAGGUUGUCGAAAGGGAUGGAGGGGGAUGGCUCGAUGGGUGGAAGCGUCAGGUGAGUUUUGCUUGUUACUUUACUAUUUUAAGAAGAUAAUAA
rnacentral:lncRNA from 1 species